rnacentral:rRNA from 1 species
GAUGAACGCUGGCGGCGUGCCUAAUACAUGCAAGUCGAGCGGACGGGCGAUAAGCUUGCUGCUCUGAUGUUAGCGGCGGGGGUGUGUGUAACACGUGGAUAACCUACCUAUAAGACUGGUAUAAUUUCGGGAAACCGGAGCUAAUACCGGAUGAGAUUUUGAACCGCAUGGGUCGAAGGUGAAAUACGGUCUUUCUGUCACUUAUAGAUGGAUCCGCGCUGCAUUAGCUAGUUGGUAAGUUAACGGCUUACCAAGUCAACGAUGCAUAGCCGACCUGAGAGGGUGAUAGGCCACCCGGGAACUGAGCCACGGUCAAGACUACUAAGGGAGGCAGCAGUAGGGAAUCGUACGCAAUGGGCGAAAGCCUGACGGAGCAACGCGGAGUGAGUGAUGACGGUCUUCCGAUCGUAAAACCCUGCUACUAGGGAAGAACAUAUGUGUACGUAAAUGUGCACAUAUUGACGGUAACUAAUAAGAAAGCCACGGCUAACUACGUG